GUUUGAUUCAUUAGCACAUUUACUAAAAUCAGAACGAUACAGAGAAAAUUAGCCUUGCCCAGUGCAGAGCUGACAAGCAAAUUCAGAAAGUUUUCCAUAUUUUU